rnacentral:lncRNA from 1 species
UUAAAACAUAUAGCAUAUGCCCAAUGCUACAAUCAUUUAUAGAUAAGUAGAAAAAGAACCAAAAUUUAUCAAUCAGUCAAACAAAUCGUAUAGUUUAUGGAAAGCAUACUUCCUCGCAUGGUCAAAGAGUCUUGGUUAGUUGAUAUGCACUUAAGGACUUCGAUCAGAGUGACAGUACAAGAAACAUUGAAAAGCUAAGCUGCAUUAUGUUAUCCACAUUGGUCCCUAUAGAUCAAAUAGAUCAAUCAUAAAUAAUAGAGAUCUCCCCUAUUUACCCCCUGGCCUUGAUGGAAAUCGGCUUUGCAGCACCCUGAAUAAUCAAAAAGCUGCAUUAGAUAACUAAGAAAAGUGGACAAGGCACUUUGAGGAUAUGGGCCGUUGCUUUGAUCAUCUAGAAUUAAUUAAAUCAUCUCUUAUAUCUUUCCUAUACAUUUUUUUUUUGAAGAUCCAUCCCUUUCUGGACACCCCCACAAGUUGGUGUUUUGAAGAUUAAUUUUGAUAGAUUACUUAAGCCAAAUGGUAAGGCUGGUGUAGUGGCCUUUGGGACCACUCUAUACUUCCUCUAAUUCCCAUGUUUUCUGUGAAGGUACCGUGGUCAUUAUAUUUUCUCCUCUAGCAUUAGAUCUUGACUUUGUGAUGAUCUAGGAUCAUAACUCCCCUCAGCAUGUGUACAAACAGUCUACAAAGGAUGUUGCAGAAUGCAGAUGUGUCUAUGAACAAUCAUAAAACUAGCAGGGUCGGGCCCUCUUCUACCUAAAAGGAAAAGGAAACAUAUUCUCACAGGUAUUUUGUUCCCACUGAAACCAUAAAAUCAAAUAUCAUUUUUCUUCUAGUUUGAAAUAAAAUUAAAAUCAUGCUCCAUUAUAGAGCUAAGGAAAGCCAUAUUUAGUGCAAAAAUAACUCUCCAAACUAUCGAAUAAUAUGCAGUAUAGACUACAUGCACCUGUAUCACUUUAGUAGUGACACAUCGUAUUCUAGAAGUAGAUAUUUGAUAACUUUUGAAGAAAUUGGAAAUUUAGUACAUUGGUGUCCUUUUUAAGGAUUGAGACAUAAACAAAAGAAAAUUCUAACACAUGGUGGUAUUGCAGGAGAUAAAAUCUUUUGGG